UACGUAGGGGGCAAGCGUUGUCCGGAUUUAUUGGGCGUAAAGAGCGUGUAGGCGGUUAGGUAGGUCCGUUGUGAAAACUCGAGGCUCAACCUCGAGACGCCGAUGGAAACCAUCUAACUAGAGUCCGGAAGAGGAGAGUGGAAUUCCUGGUGUAGCGGUGAAAUGCGCAGAUAUCAGGAAGAACACCCGUGGCUAAGGCGGCUCUCUAGUACGGUACUGACGCUGAGGCGCGAAAGCGUGGGGAGCGAACAGG
rnacentral:rRNA from 1 species